UGGAGGGGACGACUGGAGACUGAAAUUCUCUGCUUUCCCACAGAACAAAGCAGCAGCACUGCACGCUUCCCCACGCACACUGCCCUGCCCACCAGUGUGCCUGAAAUCUGCACCUGGCAGGUACUGCCUGGAGGGGAUGAGAGGCCAAUUCAGUUUCUAAGUCCAUUCUGUCCUUGGCCUCU
rnacentral:sRNA from 1 species